rnacentral:misc_RNA from 1 species
CCCAGCUUAAAACCCAAAGGACUUGGCGGUGCCCCACCCACCUAGAGGAGCCUGUUCUAUAAUCGAUAACCCCCGCUUAACCUCACCACUUCUUGCCAAUACCGCCUAUAUACCACCGUCGCCAGCCCACCCCGUGAGGGAAAUAGUAGGCACAAUGAUAAGUCACCAAAACGUCAGGUCAAGGUGUAGCGUAUGAAGUGGGAAGAAAUGGGCUACAUUCUCUAACCUAGAGCACACGAAAAAUCAUAUGAAAUUAGAUCAGAAGGAGGAUUUAGUAGUAAAAAGAAACAAUAGUGUUCUUUUUAAGUUGGCCCUGGGGCGCGCACACACCGCCCGUCACCCUCUUCAACUAAUAAAACACGAUUUAUAAAACAUAAAACAAACACAAGAAGAGGUAAGUCGUAACAUGGUAAGUAUACCGGAAGGUGUGCUUGGAAUUACAAGAUGUAGCUUAAUAAAGCAAUUCGCUUACACCGAAUAGAUGCCCGCUGAAACCGGACCAUUUUGUAGCCAUAAUUCUAGUUCAACUACACCCCACACCACAAGUUAUAAUAAACUAAAACAUUACCUAACUUUAGUAAAGGCGAUAGAACAAAAAAUAGGAACAAUAAAUAAAGUACCGCAAGGGAACGAUGAAAUAGAAAUGAAAAAACUCAUUAAAGCAUAAAAAAGCAAAGACCCCCCCUUG